rnacentral:rRNA from 1 species
GACGAACGCUGGCGGCGUGCUUAACACAUGCAAGUCGAACGGAAAGGCCCUGCUUUUGUGGGGUGCUCGAGUGGCGAACGGGUGAGUAACACGUGAGUAACCUGCCCUUGACUUUGGGAUAACUUCAGGAAACUGGGGCUAAUACCGGAUAGGAGCUCCUGCUGCAUGGUGGGGGUUGGAAAGUUUCGGCGGUUGGGGAUGGACUCGCGGCUUAUCAGCGUGUUGGUGGGGUAGUGGCUUACCAAGGCUUUGACGGGUAGCCGGCCUGAGAGGGUGACCGGCCAAAUUGGGACUGAAAUACGGCCCGGACUCCUACGGGAGGCAGCGGUGGGGAGUAGUGCACAAUGGGCGGAAGCCAGAUGCAGCAACGCCGCGUGCGGGAUGACGGCCUUCGGGUUGUAAACCGCUUUCGCCUGUGACGAAGCGUGAGUGACGGUAAUGGGUAAAGAAGCACCGGCUAACUACGUG